AUGCUGGGGCUCCGAGCCAUCAGCACAGAGUCCAGGCAGGACCGCAGAGCCACCACAAGAACCACUGUGUCUAAUACUUUCGGUGCGGGGACCAAGGUGGAGAUCAAACGUGAUCCAGUUGCGCCUUCUGUCCUCCUCUUCCCACCAUCUAAGGAGGAGCUGACAACUGGAACAGCCACCAUCGUGUGCGUGGCGAAUAAAUUCUAUCCCAGUGACAUCACCGUCACCUGGAAGGUGGAUGGCACCACCCAACAGAGCGGCAUCGAGAACAGUAAAACACCGCAGAGCCCCGAAGACAAUACCUACAGCCUGAGCAGCACUCUGUCACUGACCAGCGCACAGUACAACAGCCACAGCGUGUACACCUGCGAGGUGGUCCAAGGCUCAGCCUCACCGAUCGUCCAGAGCUUCAACAGGGGUGACUGCUAGAGCGAGACGCCUGCCAGGGCACCGCCAGGGACCCUGAGGGCCAGCCUCGCCGCUCCCUCCCCUCAGUGGACCCAUUCCCACCGCAGUCCUCCAGCCCCUCCCUUCCCGGUCCUCCCCCCCUCCUUGGCUUUAACCUUGCGAAUGUUGGUGAGAUGGAUGAAUAAAGUGAAUCUUUGCACUUGUGA